CUUGCCGUAAACUAUGUAUACUUGGUGUAGCCGGAAUCAACCCUGGCUGUGCCGUAGCUAACGCGAUAAGUAUACCGCCUGGGGAGUACGCUCGCAAGGGUGAAACUCAAAAGAAUUGACGGGGACCCGCACAAGCAGUGGAGCAUGUGGUUUAAUUCGAUGCAACGCGAAGAACCUUACCCAGACUUGACAUACAGUGGAAGUUUGUAGAAAUAUAAACGCCCUUCGGGGCCGCUGAACAGGUGC
rnacentral:rRNA from 1 species